rnacentral:rRNA from 1 species
UGGCAUGGGGGCACCCUGACCGCAAUGCCGCGUGAGUGAAGAAGGCCUUCGGGUUGUAAAGCUCUUUUGUCAGGGAAGAAACACCGGCUCUAACACAGUCCGGGAAUGACGGUACCUGAAGAAUAAGCACCGGCUAACUACGUGCCAGCAGCCGCGGUAAUACGUAGGGUGCAAGCGUUAAUCGGAAUUACUGGGCGUAAAGCGUGCGCAGGCGGUUAUACAAGACAGGCGUGAAAUCCCCGGGCUUAACCUGGGAAUGGCGCCUGUGACUGUAUAGCUAGAGUGUGUCAGAGGGGGGUAGAAUUCCACGUGUAGCAGUGAAAUGCGUAGAUAUGUGGAGGAAUACCAAUGGCGAAGGCAGCCCCCUGGGAUAACACUGACGCUCAUGCACGAAA